GACGAACGCUGGCGGCGUGCUUAACACAUGCAAGUCGAACGGAAAGGCCCUGCUUGCAGGGUACUCGAGUGGCGAACGGGUGAGUAACACGUGGGUGAUCUGCCCUGCACUUCGGGAUAAGCCUGGGAAACUGGGUCUAAUACCGGAUAGGAGCCAUUUUGAGAGUGAUGGUUGGACAGUUUUUUCGGUGUAGGAUGAGCUCGCGGCCUAUCAGCUUGUUGGUGGGGUAAUGGCCUACCAAGGCGGCGACGGGUAGCCGGCCUGAGAGGGUGGACGGCCACCUUGGGACUGAGAUGCGGCCCAGACUCCUACUGGUGGCAGCAGUGGGGAAUAUUGCACAAUGGGCGCCAGCCUGAUGCAGCGACGCCGCGUGGGGGAUGACGGCCUUCGGGUUGUAAACUCCUUUCGCUAGGGACGAAGCUUUUUGUGACGUUACCUAGAUAAGAAGCACCGGCUAACUACGUG
rnacentral:rRNA from 1 species